CAAAAGAUAUGAACAUUUUGGGUUCAAGUUUUUGUUAUUAUUAAAUGAUUGACUAAAUAAAUGUUUAAACAAUUGACUAAAUUGGUGAUUUAUUAAUUAAUCAACGUCAAAUUAAAUUGUCUUUAACAUAGGCAAACAAGCUUUCAACUAAUUCCUUGUCUUGUGGUUACAUUCCUAAGGCACAUUUACAUGCAACUCUUUCUCUACCCUUACCAUCUUUACCUUUUUUUCCCGCCUAACUUUAUAUCUCCUUUGAUGUUUGCCUGACCAACCAAUGACCACUAUCAACACCACUAGAAAACUAAGGCUUAAAAAUUUAGGCCAUCAACUGGUGAUGAUGAUGAUCGUUAUAAUACAAUAGCUCAAUAACAAUGGAUGGAAGGAGAAAAGGCUAAAACUAAAAAAGCAAAGGUAAAUUGAUCUUACUUUUAUUUUUUGGCCCUUAAGCUGCUGACCAAGAGAAAGUUGAUUUGUUAUUAAAGGGUCAAGAAGAUGUCACUAUUGUUUACCCAUCAUAAACACAUUCAAUAAAAUAAAAAGCAACUUUUCAAUUUGUUAACUAUUUUAUCACUUUCAACCUUAUAUUCAAAUACUUCUCUCCUCUCUUCAUCCAGAAUCAUCUUAACCCGAUUGUAUUCCUCCUC